rnacentral:rRNA from 1 species
GCCAUGCAUGUCUCAGUGCAAGCCAAACUAAAGUGAAACCGCAAAUGGCUCAUUAAAUCAGUUAUAAUUUAUUUGAUUAUCCAUUAUAUUACUUGGAUAACUGUGGCAAUUCUAGAGCUAAUACAUGCAAACAGAAUUUUUGCCUUUAUUGGCAAAAAUGCUUUUAUUAGAUCAAAACCAAUUCGUUCGUAUUCACGUAUGACACGAUAACACUGGUGACUCUGAAUAACUUUUUGAUGAUCGCAUGGUCUUUGUGCCAGCGACAACUCUUUCAAAUGUCUGACUUAUCAACUGUCGUUGGUAGCUUUUACGCUUACCAUGGUUGUAACGGGUAACGGGGAAUCAGGGUUUGAUUCCGGAGAGGGAGCCUGAGAAACAGCUACCACAUCCAAGGAAGGCAGCAGGCGCGCAAAUUACCCACUUCCAGUACGGAGAGGUAGUGACGAAAAAUAACGAUACGGGACUCAUCCGAGGCCCCGUAAUCGGAAUGAGAACACUUUAAAUACUUUAACAAGUAUCCAUUAG